rnacentral:ncRNA from 1 species
CUACUGUUCAAGUGUCGCUGCAAAUUCAGCGAUCGGGCUUGGUAACCCGGAUU